CCCCCCGGGCAGGCCGCGGCCGCCGCCGUCGGUGCCUUUAAAACCCGCCCGGCACCGCCGGAGCCCUCAGCGCCCGGCCCCGCCCCUCCCCUCCCGGCCGCCUCCCAUUGGUCGCCCCGCGGCUCCCCCGCCUCGCCGCUCGCUCGCCCCCCGCUUGGUGGCGGCGGAGGGGGCCGCGCGUCACGCGGCGUGAUCGCCGCCCUCCAGCCAAUGGGGUAGGGGGAGGAGGCGCGUGGACAGCGCGGGGAUUGGCGGGGAGCUUGNNNNNNNNNNNNNNNNNNNNNNNNNNNNNNNNNNNNNNNNNNNNNNNNNNNNNNNNNNNNNNNNNNNNNNNNNNNNNNNNNNNUGGGGAUGGGGAUGGGGAUGGGAUUGGGAUUGGGAUUGGGGAUAGGUAUUGGGGAUGGGGAUUUUGGGGGCUGAGGGUUAGGGGCUGGAGGCUGGGAGUCAGAAGCUGGAGCCCUGAGGGGAGCCCAGGGCCAUGGCGGGGCUCCGUCCUGUCAGCAGGGCCGGGGCAGGCGCUGCCGUCAGGCGCAGGGGCGGUGGGACUGACAGAAAGCAGAAACUGAGGUAAAGUCGGGCGGGGCGGUGCCCCCCGGUUUGCCUCAGGGAGGCCGUGCCCGGCCCUUGUUCACCUGCCCGAUCCCCUCCCUCACCGGCUGGGCCUCGAGCCUUCGGGCCGUGAGGUGGCUGUGCAGGGCCGCGUGCCGCUAGGCCUCAGCAGCAUGGCCAAAGCCUUUCCCUACAGACUCUGCACAUCAUACUCGUCAAAUCUGCCCACACGCAUAAAGCAAGGCCAGUUAGUCCCAACUCUGAGCUUUACACGUUUAGGAGAGCCCCCAGCACCUGUAGGCAGAGCAGCACCAUGAUCUGUGUCCGUAGGGGAAUAAGGGCCGUGUGCUCAGAGCCAUGGGCACCUGCUGCGCCUCACAGCACCACGCACGUGCCUGCACCGGCGGGUUACUGCAGUUAAUUGAGUUUAGGAAGCGCCACGCUGGGUCAUCGCCUGAGUCUGCAGCAGGGCCUCUCCCUGAAGGUGUGUGUGGGGAAGGACCUGCGGCGUUCCCCUCGCUGGCAGGAGGCAUUGCCCUGCCCGAGUCACCCGCGUGCCCAACGCUGCCAGCAGCUGCUGCUUCCUGCAUUUUUCCAUCCCUCACGAGCACUGGAAAGGAGCAGCCUGGUGCUUCCCCGCUGACUCAGGAUUUGUGGCAUGCCUUUGUGAUAUCCUGUCCCCUGAAACCUACACUCACGUUCAGAAUUACUUCUGAGAGGAAGAACUUGGCCUUGCUGAGGGCCACGUAGGCCUUUGGAACACCUUUCAUUGGCUACGUGUGAAUGCACGGCUUGGUGUUAAUCAGUAAUAACGUGGGGACAAGUAACGUGAUUCCAGAUGGGCUGAAUUCAGAGUUUAUCUGGAUUGUUGGCCACAGGCUCCCCUGCUCAUGGUGAAGAAUUAUGUAACUAAAGAAAAAAACACUGUGAUGAUUUCGUUGAGUAUUUGAACAAUUUUUGGAUGUUCAAGUUCCUUUGUGCUUUCUGAAUUAGUUUUCACAGAAACUAACAAAUAUUUUUAUCAUAUUUGGGAACAGAGGUCUAUUAAAGUGUUUCUAUCUUCGUUUUGUUUUUUUUUUUUUUUUAGUUAAUCAAACUAACAGUGCUUGAUUGUCCUGUUCCAUAUAACCCUUUUUCCAUAUAUUAGCAAGUUUCAGGUUAGUUUUGUAGCAAGCCAAUAGAAUGUGCUUGGACAGAUACGCACGUAAGACUAUUUGCUAAAUUUGCUUACGUACAAUGCAUGCAAUUUCUUGUAACUGAUUUUGAAAGUAUUAUAAGAGGUAAAAAAUCAAAAUUCCACAUCUCCGUCUUUUCCCACGAGUUAGAUCCUGUAUAAAAAUAAUUAAUUCUCUUUUAGGUAUUACAUGCCCAUUCAAAUUUCACCUUCCAUUAUUUCCUUGCAAGUGCCAACGAGCUAGAUAGGGCAAGGAGUGACCGUGGACAGCUGUGUAUAAAAAAAAUGCACAGAAUCAGUGAGAGUUUAGAAGCUUGUAUGACUUGAACAAUUAGAUCACAGAAGAUACAGAGAGUAGGAACGCUCAGUCACAGUCAGAUGCUACUUGUUCCAGAUGUUUCUUUCCCCUUUGAUAGGCUUUUUUUUCGGCACAACUUUAAGACCAAAACUUCCUUGUUGAAAUUAUCAUGCAGUGAUUGACUGUUUUCUCAUCCACCCUUCUUGAGAAUACUUUCUUGUGCAUGAGACAUUUCAACUGACCAACACUGUGAAGUCACAGCAUGAAUGAUGGAAUCUACCACACCACUAUUUUAGUAUCUGAUAAGCCGGAAGGAAGGAAGGAACAGCAGAUGAACACUCAGACUGUAUUAGUGUACGUGUGACUGGAUGCAUGUGUGUGGGUGUAUGUGAGAAAGAGCAAGAGAGAUUCAAAUGCUUGAUUGUCCUUUCUAUUCUUUUAUUUUGCUACUUUAUUCAGGACUAUGUAAGAACUAGUUGCCUUAGCAAGCUAAUUAACAUACGAGUUCUCCUGUAAGAGUAAAGAAUACAGAAAGAAAGGGCUCACUUGAGCGUGCCCUCAAAGCUGUGAUCAGCUCUAGCAGUGAGGCUGCAAUCAGCUCUUAUCCUGAAGGUGAAGGAACUAGAAGAACAUCUUUCUGCAGCAGCUGGUAAUAUCGUAGCUCUGAUGGUUAGUUGACUCCUGUGGUCAGAUCACUGAAUUUAGAAGUAUCUGGCAGCUUAAGUUUCUAGACAUAAUCAUUAUUUGCAAAUCAUCUCAGUACACACACUGAAAAUAGGCUAUCAGGGCUGGAGCCUGUCAGAGGAACUUUUGAAGGUAUCGUAUGGAUCCCAAGUCUGCACACAGAGAAGGACAGCUGAUUAACAAGUAAUCGUCUUCUGUGGAAGAUAACAAGAGGAGAAGUGGUCUUAGCCACUUAGUGACUUCUGCCAGGAACAUCUCUUAUUUUUCAGGGAUCCAAGCUGUAAGUGGGAAGGAAGUGGAAAACGUGGUCAGUGUUUGCUGUCCUCUUCCUACUAAAGACAACUUACGCUGAGCCAACACUCCUAAUCAUGAGUCAUGCACCAGCACUAGGAGGUUGCCAGUUAAACCUUUCUGAUCUUAAUCAACAGCCUGGCAGUUCCAAGAGCAAACAGUUAUUUCUGCUCCUGGAAGAGGGCUUUGAGAAGUGUCUGCCAACAGCUACAUCACAAACUGUGGGUUUAUUUGAGAUUGCUGUACCAUAACAUCCAUUCAGGUAUCUUUCUUAUCCAGUACCAAACAUGACAGACACCACUAGUGACUACAUGCUCUAUAGUUCAGUGGAAUAGCCGUGGGAAAGGCGUUACCUUAACGAGAGCCUCACAAAUGCCCUCAACAACAGUUGUACAAAACAUUGUGUAAACCAUAUGUACUGGCCCAGGGCUCAAAAACAGCAUGUAAACCCCAUACUGACCUUUGUUCUGCGUGGUCAGGAGGGUUUGCCCAUGUACCUGGACAUUUAUCUGUAAACAGUCAGCUACCUCUGUGGCAGGCAUUAGGAAGUAGUUAUGGAAGAGGGCAAUGUCUACACCUGAAAGCAGGUGGUAGGGGCUCUUUCAGGUUCCACCAAAGCCCUCAGAACAUAAGCCCUUCUUGCAGAUACUCAGAAACCCUCUUUCUGGCUUUGUUUAUAGAGUCAGGACAGGGAAGGAUGAGGGACUGUUCCUUUCAUUUCCUAGUUCCUGGCCUUUUACCAGUGAGUUCCUUUAUCAGUGCUGUGCCAAAAAUGCAGCCCUGGAAUGGAGUGUGAAUUCUCUGUGGUGCUCCCAAUCAGCGCAGGAAGGUGACAACUGGGUGUUGGUGACACUCGCU
rnacentral:lncRNA from 1 species